rnacentral:rRNA from 1 species
UUCGCCAGGGAACUACAAGCAUAGCUUAAAACCCAAAGGACUUGGCGGUGCCUCAGACCCACCUAGAGGAGCCUGUUCUAGAACCGAUAAUCCCCGUUAAACCUCACCACCCCUUGCCUUUCCCGCCUAUAUACCGCCGUCGUCAGCUUACCCUGUGAAGGCUUAAUAGUAAGCAAAAUGAGUUCAACCCAAAACGUCAGGUCGAGGUGUAGCGCACGAGGUGGGAAGAAAUGGGCUACAUUUUCUACCACAGAAUACCACGAAUAAUGCCCUGAAAACAGCAUCUGAAGGAGGAUUUAGUAGUAAAAAGUAAA